rnacentral:tRNA from 1 species
GCCGGUGUGGCUCAGUGGGUAGAGCGUCAGCCUGCAGACUGAAGGGUCCCGGGUUCGAUUCUGGCCAAGGGCA